AUUGGUUUGUACUGUUUGUAUGUGUUUUUAUUGACUGUGUUUCCUCUCUCGUGUGUGUCUGCAGCGACGCCGAGGAGAAGCCGGAGCCCAAAGAGAAGAGCCGAAAGUCGCACCGCUAUCAUCCCUACAAAGAGCGUCACGGCGGCGGCGGCGGCGCGGCGGACAAGAAGGCCGCUCACAGGAACCGGGUGUUCAUUAGCAAUAUCCCUUAUGAUAUGAAGUGGCAGGCAAUUAAAGAUCUAAUGCGUGAGAAAGUUGGUGAGGUUACAUACGUGGAACUCUUUAAGGAUGGAGAAGGAAAGUCAAGGGUAAGUGUUGGUGACUCUGCGCUGUCUGUGAGGUUUACAAGGCCUCCGCAGCAUCACUAUCAUGUGCUCAGGGAUACGUUAGAGCCGAUAUACUGUCGUAGCUUUGACCUCGGGACGGUGUGUUGAUGUGUAGUGUUACAGUAAAGACUAAUAAGAUGAUUAUUUGGAUGUCCUUUAAAUUGGCGGUGACCCGUUUGGCUGGGGUCCAUCUGAUGAUUGCUUAGGUGUUUUUGAUUUGGACUUAACUGAUCUACGAGAGUCAUCCGUCAGGUGUCUUUCCUCAAACCCCUUCAUCCAUCUGUCUGUCUGUUCCCUUCUCUCUCUCUGUCCCGUAACAACAAGAUCCAGUUUCAUUUGCCCCGAGUUCAUCCGUCAUCUCACCGUAGCCCAAUGAAAUGCUCCAAACUGCUCGUUAAAGUAGAGUCAUGAGCAUGUGCUGUAAUCGAUCUUCCUGAAGCACUAAUGAUCAAUCAAUCAAUCAAUCAGCUGUUUGUCUUUGAGCUGACGUGGUUCUGAUGAUGUUCUCUCUUGUCGUUCUCUCUCCUCCUCGCUCUCCGUGGACGCGCUCCUGCAGGGCUGUGGGUAAGAACCGUUCACAAAACACGUUUACGUCCAAACACUUGCCGAAAUUAUUCAUGUUUUCACCAACAUUUAAAAAGGUAGUCAGCUGCCAAAUAAAGGACUCGUUUGCUUUAUAAGAAGUCUUAAU
ensembl:lncRNA